GUAGCAUUAAGUUCGUUCUGGGCGUGUCGAAGAAGCAGAUACUCUUGCUUUGUUCCUAAAAUUGAACAAUAACCGUUAGACCGUGGAUUCUGCACAUGGAAUUAUGGAGCGCCUCCAACCACCACGUUACAUAGAAUAACAUCCCCACAUUGUGGAAACAGGUCACUUGGCGUGAGUCCACAUGGACCCAUCACCUACCCUAUACGUGUAACCCUGCAUUUCUCGUGGCUACUCCACCUAGCCUUCGCGCUCCUGGACACUGGGCAAUUUACCACAGCCAAUCCACCGAACCCGCACAUCAUUGGACUGUGGGAGAAAACCAAAGGAUCCGGAGGAAACCCACGCAGACAUUGGGAGAAUGCACAAACUCUACAUAGCCUGAGGCUAGAAUCGAACCCGGGUCCUUGGUGCUGUGAGGCAGCAGUUACUAAUCAAUGAGCCACCAUGCCACCCAUUUAUCACGUUCAGGUGACAGAAUGGGCUGACACAGUUACCAAUAUAAGUGAAGAAGUGACAAAGGAAAGUUCCCUGGACUGACCUAUCCCCUCCCUACCUCCUCACCACCUAUCUUGUUUUCUCUCCAUCUUCGGUCCGCCUCCCCCUCUCUCCCUAUUUAUUCCAGUUCCCUCUCCCCAUCCCCCUCUCUGACGAAGGGUCUAGGCCCGAAACGUCAGCUUUUGUGCUCCUGAGAUGCUGCUGGGCCUGCUGUGUUCAUCCAGCUCCACACUUUGUUAUCUUGGAUUCUCCAGCAUCUGCAGUUCCUAUUAUCAAGGAAAGUUAUACUUUGUUUUAAUUGUUGUGGGAAGCUGUGCAGUCUCCAUGACUUAAAAACCCAAAAAUUGGCAUGUGUAGAAUUGACCAGCAAUUCAUAUAUUACAGUAGCAACAUGUCAUGUUGUACUAUGGUGUAUAUUACGUUUAUGUAUUUAUUUUACAAUGGUGACAUUAUAUCAUCCAACCAGUUUGUUUUAAAAACUCCAUUGCAUUACAUCUUAUUGCUUUAUAAAAAUGAAUUUGGAGAGAUUUAUAAAACCAGGUUAGAAAUAAGAAACAUGUGUAGACCUAACUUUUCACAAUGCAGGACAACUCAAAGACUUUCAGAGUCCUCCAGUGUAGUCAUUGUUAUAAUGAAUGGAUCAACAACCAAUUCGUGCACAGUAAGAAUCUCAAAAGAGCAAAGGUAUAUGACAAGAUAAUCUAUGUCUGCCUAUCUUCAGUUACUCUUAUCAGUAAUCAGAUAAACGUAAAUGUUGAUUUCAUUGUUCAUUUGUUAUUUUGUUAUAGUAGGACUCUCUAGAAACCUGCCACAGUUGUCCAAAUUAAAUGUGCUGGUAUUCCAACUGCACCAUUUCUCACUGUUUACUACUGUAAAUUUGUUUUGGUGUAAAGCACAGACAGAUCAUGUUCGUCACAUAGCACUUGAAUGUUACUUAUUUGCAAAUCCUUUCUCUAGGAUUUACAACAAUAGAUGUGAUUCCUAUAUUGUGUUAGGUGAAAUGUUUUGUAUCCAAUGAAAUCUGUUUUCUCCGUCCAGCUGGUGCAUUUUUCCAUGUGACAAACCAUAUAGGUGGUGACCCUCUGCAUAUCCAUUCUUUGAUAUUAAUGCUGAAGUCAUCAUCUACCUAGGUUCGGCACAGUAACAUUAAUUUGUUCAGGAGGAGCUGCUCUUGAUUCAGAUUUUGUGAGCAAGUCACUAGUCAGAUAAUGAAGUAAGCAACAUGUUACAGAGGCAGAUGUCCCAAAGAUAGGAUUCCUCUAACACAUCCAAAUGUGGAUUACAGGAGUCAGUAUCAGGUAAGGCCUCACCUUAGGUGCAGUUACAUCUGGACUGUAAGGCCUGUCAUAAACAUCUCUUCUUCAUUUUGUUGACACAAUGUAUAGAGUCCACAGGAUUGCAUCAGUCCUUUACUCCUUGUAUAGUGCUGUAUUAAUACAAACAGAAAUAAAAGAAAUGGAAACAAGAA